rnacentral:lncRNA from 1 species
UUUUUUUUUUUUUUUCUAUCUUCCCUCUCUUUUCUCUCUUCUCUCUUUUCUCCCUCUUCCUCUCCCGAGUUUCCUUGAGAACCUAACUCCCGCCGGAGCUAGCACCACCGUCCGGCCACUGAUUGGACCGCCACCCGUCCCAUUCGACUCCCACAGAUGCCCUCUUCAAGGCUGGGCAGCUGCUACUCGGUGUGGGACACCGGAAACAACGCUUUCGGCCUGAAAAGGGGGCUGCUGUGCCACCGGUCGGAACCGCCGUAUACGGCGGCGACGAGGGACAUCCUUAGGUGAGUCUUGAUCCUCUCCUCCUUAGGGUGCAUUUAGAAAGUAAAGAAGCCAAGAAAAAAGAAGAAGAUGGAUCUAACAUCUUACCAAAAGAAUGCUAAACUAACACCAAAAGAAUGUUAUGAUGCCCAUUCUUCAAUUUUGAACCCAGUAUACAUUAGAGAAUUAAGAAUAAAAAUGCAUUUUAGAAGAAAUUUAGAAAGUAAAGAAGCCAAAAUAAAAGAGGAAAAAACACUGCGAAGGCUGGGAAUCGAACCCAUGUGUGCAUGAUGUAAGUAUUUAUCCCAAACCAAGCCUGCAAAGGCUUUAAUUGUGCUCAGGCUACACACAUUAAAACAUAUAUUGACAAAAUCUCAGUUGGGCUCAAGCCCAACCAACCUCUUACCUGGCUCCGCGCCUGAGUGAAGUGGCAUGUAGUGUGUUAAUAUAUUGGCUAUUCAUAUUCAAUCACUAGGAUCUCCUACUGCAGCCAGGAAAGGAAGAGAUAAAAGAAACAUACCUCGAUCUGAGAAUUCCCAAUGAAGAAAGGAAAAGUGAUUCAAGAUCCGGAAGUCCAAGUGUUGAUCACAAGUUUACAUAAUCAGUGGUAUCACUCAAGGAUCACAGGUAAUGAGUUUUUUACUUGCUUGUUUAUGGUAAGUUAAUCUCUUUAUUGGUUAAUUGUCCUGAGUGAAAGAUUUUUGAUAAAAAUCUUAUGUUUAGGAUUUUCCAUAUCAGGUUCCUUAAAGUGCUCAUUUGCGGAUUUUAAUUAUUCUAAGAUAUUUGAUUUGGUGUUUUUCCAAACCAGGUACAUUAGAAUUUUUAUCUGCAUAAAUCUUGCUUAUCUGAUCUUAUACGUCUAUGUGCUUCAUCAUUGGCUUCAGCAUGAUCAGGAAAUUGAAUUGCACAUUUUAGAAUGACUUUGUUAUAGCAGUAAACUGGUGUAUCAGUUUUAGAAAGUGCAAAACUGAUUACUUCCUAUCUAAAACGAAAUUUGAUCCUGUCAUUGAAUGACAUCAGUUAAGGGGGAGUAUUUUCAUACUCUAUAAAUUGCUUCUGCUGCUUUUAGAAACUCAAGCUUUUUGGAUGAAUUGAAAUAGACUUUGUUAAACAUUGACUGGAAGUUCAUUACAUGUUGAUAUCCUUCAUACAAACAGACCUGUGUGAGUUUUCUAUAAACUAAGUUUCUCUUCUUACUUGCAGACUGAUUGCAUUUGAGAUUGCUGAAGCUGUUUUUGGAAGAAGUAAUAAACUGGAGGUGUUGCAGAUUCAAAGAGAAACUGAUUGUGUAUUGUUUCAUUGAAUCAAUAACUGAAAGUGUCUAAGUGUGUAAGAAUCAGUUGUAGCAGGAUCUAGUUGUGAGAGAACUAGCAUGGAUGAGUGUGUGAGAUCUCAGUCUAGCAGGGAUAAUAUAAAAAAAUGUCACGAUUCAAGGACAUAUGUCUUACAGAUAAAAAUAGAAAGCACACAGCUCAACUUUGUUAUUGCUUGAAUCAUAUUUUGCUAAAUAAUAUAAUCUCCAUAUAGGCGCAAUCUAAGGGUUGAAUUAUUGCUCAUAGUUUUGUUUUCAUUAUUUGCUAAAGAUGCCGGAGAACUUACCAUAUAUCAUAGUACUGCCCCUGAUGAAUACACACAUCAGUACCGUGAACUGGUGCAAACCCAGCUCCCCUAGAAUGUCAAUUUACCUAACCCGUAAUGGGGUAUAAGUAUAACAAGACAACUAAAGUUCGAUCAGCCUUAGGACCAUAUUAAACCUGCAACUAUUCACACUUAAGGAUGAGAAGUACACUAUCAAUCAUUCAUGCUCAAGACUGACUACAGAAGAGGAAAGAGCUCCCCUAUGGAUGCAAUAGACAGAGGAAAAGAAUUUAUAGUAGAAAUCAACAUCUCAUGCGAAAUCUCAGAUUAACCACAAGAAAAGAAAGUAAAUACAAUCCUCACCUCAGGGUAACAAUCUUGACGAACAACUGUGUGAUUGUUUGAAUUCACAUACACCUCACACGAAGCUCUUCCCUGAUCAACAGUACUGACCACAGUUAGAUAAUAUCAAAAUGAAGAAGUAAAGCACACCACAAUCACAAUCACAUCAUACAGUAACUCAUCUCAACCUUACAUUUCACAUGCAUCUUAUAUACAAUCCAUUAGAAGAUGUCAACUUAUCAGCUUGUGCUGCUACUUUCUCUAUUGUUUUUUGACAUCUUACUUACAAAGACACGAUAAUAGUCAUACACGGUAAGCAUAUUAAGUAGCACAGGGUUUUACUUUUUCUUUUCCACCAUUUCGGAUUAUUAAGAUAAGACAACCAUAUUGUGCAUUAGAUAUACAAACUACCUGACAGCGCAUAAGAUACUUGAAAAAUCAGGCGAGGACAGACUGAAACAUGUAUCCGUUAAGGAGCACAAACUAUACAAAUACUGA